GUUAAGGUGGUGACUCAUGCUAACAAAAGCAGGGAAGUUUAAAUUUAAUGCUGAAACUGCUCUCCAUUCUCCCUCAUCGUGCGUAGGUGCAGGGGGAGGGGAAGAAAGUCUUCAAAACUAGCCCGCCAUGAGCAAUGAACAUAUGGCUGUUGCUAUCAGCACUGGUGUAUUUGCGGCGAUGCCUAUCAACAUCCACCAGAGAGCAGGGCAGCUCCAAAACCCACAUCUUUUAUGCUGUGGAAAUUGAUGGAGACAGCAACACAGCCAGCUUCUUGGCCAAACAACAUGGAAUGCAGUUCAUUUCAAAGGUACUGGUCUCUUAG
rnacentral:lncRNA from 1 species